GACGAACGCUGGCGGUGUGCUUAACACAUGCAAGUCGAACGGUAAGGCCCUUUCGGGGGUACACGAGUGGCGCACGGGUGAGUAACACGUGAGUAACCUGCCCUCAUCUCUGGGAUAACAGUCGGAAACGGUUGCUAAUACUGGAUAUGAGCUUGCAAGGCAUCUUGUGGGUUGGAAAGAUUUUUUUGGUUGGGGAUGGACUCGCGGCCUAUCAGCUUGUUGGUGAGGUAGUGGCUCACCAAGGCUUCGACGGGUAGCCGGCCUGAGAGGGCGACCGGCCACAUUGGGACUGAGAUACGGCCCAAACGCCUACGGGAGGCAGCAGUGGGGAAUAUUGCACAAUGGACGGAAGUCUGAUGCAGCAACGCCGCGUGCGGGAUGACGGCCUUCGGGUUGUAAACCGCUUUCAAUUGUGACGAAGCUUUUUGUGACGGUAGCAGUAGAAGAAGCACCGGCUAACUACGUG
rnacentral:rRNA from 1 species